CUUGCCCUUCGGGGCAAGGUUAGCGGCGGACGGGUGAGUAACACGUAGGUAACCUGCCUGUAAGACUGGGAUAACAUCCGGAAACGGAUGCUAAUACCGGAUACGCGAAUCGGUCGCAUGACCGAUUCGGGAAAGACGGAGCAAUCUGUCACUUAUGGAUGGACCUGCGGCGCAUUAGCUAGUUGGUGAGGUAACGGCUCACCAAGGCGACGAUGCGUAGCCGACCUGAGAGGGUGAUCGGCCACACUGGGACUGAGACACGGCCCAGACUCCUACGGGAGGCAGCAGUAGGGAAUCUUCCGCAAUGGACGAAAGUCUGACGGAGCAACGCCGCGUGAGUGAAGAAGGUUUUCGGAUCGUAAAGCUCUGUUGCCAGGGAAGAACGCUUGGGAGAGUAACUGCUCCCAAGGUGACGGUACCUGAGAAGAAAGCCCCGGCUAACUACGUGCCAGCAGCCGCGGUAAUACGUAGGGGGCAAGCGUUGUCCGGAAUUAUUGGGCGUAAAGCGCGCGCAGGCGGCUAAUUAAGUUCGGUGUUUAAUCCUGGGGCUCAACCCCGGGUCGCACUGGAAACUGGUUGGCUUGAGUGCAGAAGAGGAAAGUGGAAUUCCACGUGUAGCGGUGAAAUGCGUAGAGAUGUGGAGGAACACCAGUGGCGAAGGCGACUUUCUGGGCUGUAACUGACGCUGAGGCGCGAAAGCGUG
rnacentral:rRNA from 1 species